rnacentral:rRNA from 1 species
CCCUAGUAACUGCGAGUGAAGCGGGAAAAGCUCAAAUUUAAAAUCUGGUGGUCCUUGCGGCCGUCCGAGUUGUAAUCUGGAGAAGUGCUUUCCGCGCUGGACCGUGUACAAGUCUCUUGGAACAGAGCGUCGUAGAGGGUGAGAAUCCCGUCUUUGACACGGACUACCAGUGCUUUGUGAUGCGCUCUCAAAGAGUCGAGUUGUUUGGGAAUGCAGCUCAAAAUGGGUGGUAAAUUCCAUCUAAAGCUAAAUAUUGGCGAGAGACCGAUAGCGAACAAGUACCGUGAGGGAAAGAUGAAAAGAACUUUGGAAAGAGAGUUAAACAGUACGUGAAAUUGCUGAAAGGGAAACGCUUGAAGUCAGUCGCGUCGGCCGGGACUCAGCCUUGCUUUCGCUUGGUUUAUUUUCUGGUCGACGGGUCAGCAUCAGUUUCGAUCGUCGGACAAUGGCCAGGGGAAUGUGGCAUCUUCGGAUGUGUUAUAGCCCUUGGUCGCAUACGAUGGUUGGGACUGAGGAUCUCAGCGCACCUUUAUGGUCGGGGUUCGCCCACGUUUGCGCUUAGGAUGCUGGCAUAAUGGCUUUAAACGACCCGUCUUGAAACACGGACCAAGGAGUCUAACAUGCAUGCGAGUGUUUGGGUGGAAAACCCGAGCGCGCAAUGAAAGUGAAAGUUGAGACCUCUGUCGUGGAGGGCAUCGACGCCCGGACCAGACCUUUUGUGACGGCCCUGCGGUAGAGCAUGUAUGUUGGGACCCGAAAGAUGGUGAACUAUGCCUGAAUAGGGUGAAGCCAGAGGAAACUCUGGUGGAGGCUCGUAGCGAUUCUGACGUGCAAAUCGAUCGUCAAAUUUGGGUAUAGGGGCGAAAGACUAA